UCAUUAUGUCGUCGAUGGAUCUUGUUAUCCGCGCAUCCAACUCGAUUGGAUCCUUGGUUAUCCUACGACGUGAACUUAACAUCGUCGGUCUUCAACUCAAUCAGGUUGUAUUUCACCCUUCCAUCACUAUCAAUCCAAUCUUCCCGAAACUCGAUCUUACUCAUUCUUCUGUUAUCGGUAUCAGACACCAAUUCAUUCAACUUUUCUAUCAAGUUGACGAAAAAUGUGGCAUCAUCUGGAAGCUUGAAUUCAACAGGAGGAUUAUUUCUGUUGAAAUACACUUCUGCCUUAAUCAGAAAUUGUGAAAACGACAUUUUUUUUAGAUGUCUUUGUCUCUAA